rnacentral:rRNA from 1 species
CCUGGCUCAGAACGAACGCUGGCGGCGUGCUUAACACAUGCAAGUCGAACGCGAAAGGGACUUCGGUCCUGAGUAAAAGUGGCGCACGGGUGAGUAACGCGUAGAUAACCUGUCUUCAUGUCUGGAAUAAUACGCCGAAAGGGGUACUAAUACCGGAUAUUCUUGCUUUUCAUAAGUUAUGCAAGCAAAGGUGGCCUCUGCAUAUGCUACUGCAUGAAGAGGGGUCUGCGUACCAUUAGCUAGUAGGUGGGGUAAUGGCCUACCUAGGCGACGAUGGUUAGCGGGUCUGAGAGGAUGAUCCGCCACACUGGCACUGGAACACGGGCCAGACUCCUACGGGAGGCAGCAGUGAGGAAUAUUGCGCAAUGGGGGAAACCCUGACGCAGCGACGCCGCGUGAAGUGAGGAAGGCCUUCGGGUCGUAAAGCUCUGUCAAGAGGAAAGAAGUGUACAAUGGCUAAUACCUGUUGUAUUUGACGGUACCUCUAAAGGAAGCACCGGCUAACUCCGUGCCAGCCGCAGC